rnacentral:lncRNA from 1 species
GCAUUCACACAAGACACAAAUGGUUUGGUUUUUGUUUUGCCUAUUCAGAGAAGCAGAUCCACGUACUUCUUCCCCAAACUUCACUGUCACCAAUAUUGCAAUUGUGUUCCUUGUUAUAUUCCUAAACACAGGUUCACUGUCAUUCUCCAAGACCUACCUGUCUUUCACAUAUGCCAAAAGAGUGAGUUGAAUGGGUUUGUGGGUGGGAAUCACUGCCACUCCAGUAUCCUUCAGAUCCUUGAUGGUGACACUAAUCUGAAUGGUGAUCUUCAGAAAUUACUUCAGAACCAAUGUGCAGUAGUUUCUGAAAAGUAUGAUUAUCUUUACCCAUUGCACCGUAAUGACGCUGGCAAACAGCUUUUAGUCUUUUGGGGGAAGGCUGAGAGAAAGAUUAACAAUAUCCGUGGUUGUUUUUGGCUCUCUGCUUCUGAGUUUCACGUGUCCUACAGAAAAAAGUUGCGGGGGUGUGGGGCAUCAGGAGCGGCCAGCACGAGGAAAUGAGGUUGCUGCUGCUGCUGCUAAGCCACUUCAGUCCUGUCCGACUCUGUGUGACCCCAUAGACAGCAGCCCACCAGGCUCCCCCGUCCCUGGGAUUCUCCAGGCAAGAACACUGGAGUGGGUUGCCAUUUCCUUCUCCAAUGCAUGAAAGUGAAAAGUGAAAGUGAAGUCGCUCAGUCGUGUCCAACUCUUAGCGACCCCAUGGACUGCAGCCUACCAGGCUCCUCUGUCCAUGGGAUUCUCCAGGCAAGAGUACUGGAGUGGGGUGCCAUUGCCUUCUCCAGAAAUGAGGUUUCUACCUGUUAAAUCCACGGCCCGUCCCUGCCACUACCCACCUGGCGCCUCCAGGCUCUCAGCUCAUCCCCAGCCGGCCCCGCCCCGCACCCUACCGACCAAUCCAAGGCUCCGAUCCGGGAGCGUCACAAUGACGGCUUCGCAGCCCCGCCCAUGGUGUUCCCAUGGUGACAGUAGGUAGCUGGAGUGUAUGGAGAAGCUCACUUCCUUAGAGCUAGCAACCUCAGGCAGGGAGACCCGCACAGGUACAUUAGGAGCAGGUGAACGGCGGAGACCGCGGGGAAAAGUUUAUUCAGAGGGCCCCUCACCUCCCCCGCAGCCCUCCUUGUUGGUUAGUGAAAAUUUUGGAUUCACCUAGCGUGUGUUCUGGUUCCCUCACCUUCUCACGGGUACUCUGGCCUCUUCUUGUCUCCGAAACCAAAGCUGUAGUAACAUUCGUGGGGUGCUCUGAGCAAAGUGCGCGGAGCCUCCUGAGGACCGGUCUUUUGUGUCAG